rnacentral:lncRNA from 1 species
CUUCUCUCUAGUUGGGGUGCCUGUGAAACCGGCAGGCUCUCUCCAAAUGCCUGGAUUCUGCUGGGGGAGUAAGAAGUCAGGAGUAGUUUGUCUGAUGGUAUUGGGAUCUGCUUUGCAAUUGCCAAGCGCUAAGGCACAAGCUGGCAGAUGUGCUGCGGCUCUGCUACGGGCGGCUCUGUCGCCUUCAGUCGCAGGCUGGUUCUUUGGGGGAAAGUUGUAUCCAAUAUUGGUGACUCCCGGGAAUAGUCUGUUUGUGUGCUACUUAAUGGUCUCUAGGCUUCCUUGUCUUGUAGAACCUUGUUAGAAAGGAGCCUUGGUGAUUAAGAGGCUAUGGAGUACACAGCCUUGCUUAGCAGAUGAGCCCUUAUCCAUUUCCCGUUUCCUUAAAAACGGCUAAUUGAUGGAUGCUGCAGAAAACAUGCACUCUGCUAAUAAGAUGCUGAUGACAAAAUAGGUAUCAGGAAAGGCAUUUACUGCUUAUGAGCACCAUCAGCUUUCUUUCGAGUGAGAUUGUGGCUUUGUAGUAAAGUUUUUUUUUAAGUAAUAUGCUAAUAGUUUUAUUCUAAAUCGGCCAGCGCUGAAUAUCUUCAGGAAAAUGGGUUCCAUGAGAAGUGACAUCCUCCUCGAAUCAAAAGAUUCUCAGGAUGAUGGAGUGAGUGAUGGAAUAGGUUGCCAACUGUAGUUACUCCACUCAGCACAGAAUGGCUGCGGGGAAAUAUAAUCAGACAUGCCCAAAGAAGUCUGCUUAGGGUGAAACAAAUACCUUUGAGGUUUAAAUCAGAAAGGAAGGAGAGACUGUUUCUACAGGUGUCAUACAAAAAUCAAUACUGAGCCAAGGAUUAUUGGAUCCCAUAGAACCACGGAGACUUGGUAGUGAAAUUCUUCCAAAGCAUUCCAUCCGUGCAGGCAGAUGGUGUUCCUAGGUUUGGAAAUAUAAAUCCCAUGGGAAGUCAGCUGAAGACCAUUUUAUGCAUCACUCAUCCUGUUAGAGCCCUGUGCUGUUCUGUCUCUCUAUAAGACUGGCUGAAACCACCACGGUUGUUUACAAUUUAUGCUCUAACUUUGGAUCACCUAGUUAAUACUCUAACUCCGAUUAUUACCAAAGACAAUGUUCUAUAAAAGAUAUUGUCUAUUAGAAGGAUGCUUCUGCAUUAUUAAUAAAAUCACAGGGAAAAUGCAACAUUUUGGAUGUCACAUCUGAUAAGUUGGCAGUUAAAGAACAGAAACAGCAAUAAGACUGCGUGGCUACAUUUUCCCAGUGCCACCAACUGGGAUUUAAGCUGACUAACAUUUUGAAAGCCCAGCCCAUUUCAUUCACAGCAGGAUGGCAGUGGGUGACUGAUCGUACCCGCCAGCUGGCUAAUGUCAUAAUUAACAAAGUUGCUACUACAUCUGCAAAGUUUAAUCGAAAAAUUUGCCAGUGAUAUGAUGGCCUUGUCACAGAGAUCACAAGGGACACGGAGUUGACUUUUGCUCAAGGUGGAACGACAGAGCUGUGUAGGCAAGAUGAGAAAUUGCGAACUUGUUCGGCCAAAGGAACGACUAUGCUCUGGAGAGUCCUGUAAUUUGCAGAAAAUGGACCAAGAUAACAUUUGAGUUCCAUGCUACCAAAAUCCUCUUGAGAAGGACAGCUAGCUACCCAGAAUAUUUAACAUUGUGACAUUGAAAUGUUGGAUGAACGAUUAAAAUGAAGAAUCUAGUCAUAGGUUGUAAGAAAUCGCUAAAUUAUUAUGUUUAAUCCAAAGAAGAGAAAGGAAAAGCUGUUUUCAUUCCCCCCAGCCUCUGAGGAGGCUAAUAAUGAAGGGGCCGGGAAGGAGGCCAGUGCUACCAGGGUUAUCUCACAACCUCAGAUGCUGGAUAAGUCGACGGAGGCAGAAUCGCUUUGGGAUGACAUUCAGAAAGCCUGGAGUGAUUACUUGCAAGAGAAAAGCCUACCUAUUCUUUCCAAGGUGCAGGAAUAUUCCCCUGACCUGCUCAUCCAGUGGUCCAGUAAUGAAUUACUGGAGACCUGCCUUAGACAAAGAAUGCACUCGGAGCCCCAACACACCUAAAGCCAUGCUUUGAAGGAUCUGCCAAGCUCACUUUUAAUCAUGAGAAAGAAAUUACCCACACGGAGUCAGCAGAAAAUGAGAAAGUAGAGCUCGUGCUGUGAAUAAUUCCAGCAAGUGCCAAGGGGCUAGUUGAGGAAUGGCUUCAUGAGAACAUGCUCUAGGGGAACUAUUAAUAGCCCACCAGUCGGGUAGGCAGCAUUCAAUCCUUCUAUGCCUUCUUUCGCCACCUGUUGAGGUCUUUCUUCUGAAACAAAGAAGAAAUAGACAAAUCAGACUUGCCCUCUUGGAAAUGUGGUCCAGAUUUCUCUACUCCCAAGCUCCAAAAAAGGUAUACAUUGGAUGGGCUAGAUCAACUCCUCCUGAGAGCCAUAAAUCCGCCAAGAGUUGUUUUCCAUGUAAGGGUGUGGUACAAUGGGGAACACCUGAUGUUGGAGGAAAGCAGGAGGACUUUAGAGUGGAGUUGCAUUCUAAUCUCUCUGCCGCUUCAACUAUGUGACCUGGGGCAAAUGAUAUAAACUCUAUGAGCCUCUUUCCUUAUCUUUAAAAUGAAGAGAAGUAAUACCUACCUUGUAGGGCUGUUGUGAGGAUUAAAUGAAGUAAUGCAUACAGUGCCUAACAAAGUAUUUAACAUCAUAUUUUUUAAAAGCUCAUGAAAUAUUAGUUUUUCUUCCUUCCCCUCUUUCUAUUUUCUCUCCUGUUCCCUUUUCUCUCCCUCCUCUGCCCUCUCCUUCCUUCAGAUGUUAGUCUAAAACAGCACCUUGGAUCUAAGCAGCACCUUUGAGAAAGAAAAGACUGCUUCAAGAAUGUCUAGUUGCACCUCCUUUCCGUAUGUGGCCUAAAUGCCUAGGUUGGAUCAAUAGUUUAAUUUUUUUAUUGAACUGUUUAAUAUUGACUAUGGACUUACAUUCACUUUUACUGUUUUCUGUAUAUUUACUUUUGCUUGAAGUGUUUUAAUAUUGACUAUUUACCUCUGCUCAUUUUUAUUGAUUUUCUGUAUUUUUUCAAUGAAAAUUAUAAUAAAAAUUAUUUUUGUUA